GGCGUAGGCGGCCAGCGCAAGUCAGUUGUGAAAUCUCCGGGCUUAACUCGGAAAGGUCAACUGAUACUGCGCGGCUAGAGUGCGGAAGGGGCAACUGGAAUUCUCGGUGUAGCGGUGAAAUGCGUAGAUAUCGAGAGGAACACCUGCGGCGAAGGCGGGUUGCUGGGCCGACACUGACGCUGAGGCGCGAAAGCCAGGGGAGCGAACG
rnacentral:rRNA from 1 species